UGGUGCCAAAUACUUCCUUGAGUCCAA
rnacentral:piRNA from 2 species